rnacentral:rRNA from 1 species
CCCGCUGAACUUAAGCAUAUCAAUAAGCGGAGGAAAAGAAACUAACAAGGAUUCCCCUAGUAACGGCGAGUGAAGCGGGAAGAGCUCAAAUUUGAAAUCUGGCAGUCUUUGAUUGUCCGAGUUGUAAUCUAGAGAAGCGUUUUCCGCGCUGGACUGUGUACAAGUUUCCUGGAUACGGAACAUCAUAGAGGGUGAGAAUCCCGUCCUUGACACAGACUCCCUAGUGCUUUGUGAUGCGCUCUCGACGAGUCGAGUUGUUUGGGAUUGCAGCUCAAAAUGGGAGGUAAAUUCCUUCUAAAGCUAAAUAUUGGCGAGAGACCGAUAGCGAACAAGUACCGUGAGGGAAAGAUGAAAAGAACUUUGAAAAGAGAGUUAAACAGUGCGUGAAAUUGUUGAAAGGGAAACGCUUGACACCAGUCAUGCGAGCGGAAAAUCAGUCUUUUGCGGUGGGGAGUUGUGUGGGUUCGGACCGCAAGGCCGGCCUGCGCUUCAUCUCUGCUGUAAGUGAUGCACUUUUUCGUUUGCAGGCCAACAUCAGUUUCUUCUGCUGGACAAAACUCUUGAGAAGGUAGCAGCUUAGGCUGUGUUAUAGCUCUUGAGCGAUACAGUGGAGGAGACUGAGGUUUUCGCAGCGCGUGCUUUCGGGCAAGGCUGAUUGGGUGCUAUGGGAUCGUUCGGUGUACAAUGCAUGCAUUUUGCGCCGUGUCUUUUCUAUACUCGCUCAACUCGGCUCUUCCGCGCUUAGGAUGUUGGCUUAAUGGUUUUAAUCGACCCGUCUUGAAACACGG